GACAGAGGGGGCAAGCGUUGCUCGGAAUUACUGGGCGUAAAGGGCGCGUAGGCGGGAUGGCAAGUCGGUCGUGAAAUCCCUCGGCUCAACUGAGGAUCGUCGAUCGAUACUGCCGUUCUUGAGGAUUGCAGAGGAGACUGGAAUUCCCGGUGUAGCGGUGAAAUGUGUAGAGAUCGGGAGGAACACCGGUGGCGAAGGCGGGACUCUGGGCAAUUCCUGACGCUGAGGCGCGAAAGCGUGGGGAGCAAACGGG
rnacentral:rRNA from 1 species